UCCCUGGUGGCUCAGAGGGUAGAGUAUCUGCCCAAAAUGUGGGAAACCCAGGUUCAAUCCCUGGGUUGGGAA
rnacentral:tRNA from 1 species